GAAACAUGUAAAAUAUAAAUCCCAUUUUUCAUCAUUUGACAUUUCCUAUUCAUAUACUGAAUCCACAAUUUACACCAACCAUUGGUGAAUUACAUUCGGAUUUCGGUCUUGGGUAUCCGCCCUUGUCUCCGGAAAUAUUAUACCCACACAAGUUGUCAACAUCCGUUUUGAAACUAAUGUUGAAAGUGUAUUUCACAAUCUUCCUGGAAAUGUAAACGCCAUCACUUCGUGCUCAGAUAAUAGAACAUAUUAUAAACCGCUAACAGCAAAUACGGACCAAAAUGAAUUAAAUUGGAAUGCACGGAUGAUCACGUUACAUGCCGACUGUAAGUGAUGGAGAAAGAUGUUUACUAUGGAUAAAAUAUUCAAAACAGAGGACUUUUAUAUAUAAACAAUAAUGUGUACAUGUAUGAUAUACAUGCAACAAGAAAACAGUAAUCAAAUGGAAUGUCUAUGUGAUUGCUACAACACAUUUUAAUAGAGUGAUGUUGAAAGCAAAAUUAUUUUUGUUAAAAGAAAAUAAUAGGACUACAAUAUAUUAGGGUACACAACACAUCAGAAAAAUAAUUUUACUGGAGGAUAAAAAUUUUGAUACCUGGAAUUAGCUAUUUAUAUGAAAUUUGUUAAGAGAGAUAUAUUCAUGUCAUCUGAUUCACGUACAGAAUGGUAACCCCACCAGAUAACCCUGAGGUAGUUCAAGUGAUUAUUAGUAGACA